UGGGGAAUUUUGCACAAUGGGGGAAACCCUGAUGCAGCGACGCCGCGUGAUUUAGAAGGCCUUCGGGUUGUAAAAAUCUUUUUUACGGGAUGAAAAUGACAGUACCGUAAGAAUAAGGUCCGGCUAAAUACGUGCCAGCAGCCGCGGUAAUACGUAUGGACCGAGCGUUGUCCGGAAUCAUUGGGCGUAAAGGGUACGUAGGCGGCCUAGUAAGUUAGAAGUGAAAUAAUAUAGCUCAACUAUAUAAAGCUUUUAAAACUGCUAGGCUUGAGAGAUGGAAGGGAAAGUGGAAUUCCUAGUGUAGCGGUGAAAUGCGCAGAUAUUAGGAAGAAUACCGGUGGCGAAGGCGACUUUCUGGUCAGCAUCUGACGCUGAGGUACGAAAGCGUGGGUAGCAAACAGG
rnacentral:rRNA from 1 species